UGCUCCCCCCCACCGCAUGGUGCUGUGGGAAAUACUUUUUGCGGUAGGGUGUGGGGUCGCCUCCUAUCCUCUUGUUGGCGGGGAAACGCCCCCCCGGGUUUUCAACGGGUACCCGCCCUGAAAGGGACACCCCCCACUUUGGAACUGAUAUACGCCCCACACUCCUACGGGAGGCAGCAGUGGAAAAUAUUGCACAGUGGGCGCAACCCUGAUGCAGCCACCCCGCGUGAGGUAUGGAGGCCUUCGGUUUGUAACCCUCUUUUAUCGGAGACCAACCAAGAGUGAGUUUACCCCUUGAAUAUACACCGCCUAACACCAUGCCCCCACCCCCGGUAAUACGCAGGGGGCGAGCGUUUUCCGGAAUUAUUGUGCGUAAAGGGCUCUCAGGCGGUUCUCCUCGUCCGGUGUGAAAUACCUCAUCUUAACGGUGGAUCCGCGCCCGGUACGGGCGGGCUUGAGUGCGGUAGGGGAGACUGGAAUUCCCGGUGUAACGGUGGAAUGUGUAGAUAUCGGGAAGAACACCAAUGGCGAAGGCAGGUCUCUGGGCCGUCACUGACGCUGAGGAGCGAAAGCGUGGGGAGCGAACAGGAUUAGAUACCCUGGUAGUCCACGCCGUAAACGGUGGAUGCUGGAUGUGGGGCCCGUUCCACGGGUUCCGUGUCGGAGCUAACGCGUUAAGCAUCCCGCCUGGGGAGUACGGCCGCAAGGCUAAAACUCAAAGAAAUUGACGGGGGCCCGCACAAGCGGCGGAGCAUGCGGAUUAAUUCGAUGCAACGCGAAGAACCUUACCUGGGCUUGACAUGUUCCCGACGGUCGUAGAGAUACGGCUUCCCUUCGGGGCGGGUUCACAGGUGGUGCAUGGUCGUCGUCAGCUCGUGUCGUGAGAUGUUGGGUUAAGUCCCGCAACGAGCGCAACCCUCGCCCCGUGUUGCCAGCGGAUUAUGCCGGGAACUCACGGGGGACCGCCGGGGUUAACUCGGAGGAAGGUGGGGAUGACGUCAGAUCAUCAUGCCCCUUACGUCCAGGGCUUCACGCAUGCUACAAUGGCCGGUACAACGGGAUGCGACGCGGCGACGCGGAGCGGAUCCCUGAAAACCGGUCUCAGUUCGGAUCGCAGUCUGCAACUCGACUGCGUGAAGGCGGAGUCGCUAGUAAUCGCGAAUCAGCAACGU
rnacentral:rRNA from 1 species